GGUGAACGCUGGCGGCGUGCCUAACACAUGCAAGUCGAGCGAUUCUCUUCGGAGAAGAGCGGCGGACGGGUGAGUAACGCGUGGGUAACCUGCCCUGUACACACGGAUAACAUACCGAAAGGUAUGCUAAUACGAGAUAAUAUGCUUUUAUCGCAUGGUAGAAGUAUCAAAGCUCCGGCGGUACAGGAUGGACCCGCGGCUGAUUAGCUAGUUGGUAAGGUAACGGCUUACCAAGGCGACGAUCAGUAGCCGACCUGAGAGGGUGAUCGGCCACAUUGGAACUGAGACACGGUCCAAACUCCUACGGGAGGCAGCAGUGGGGAAUAUUGCACAAUGGGCGAAAGCCUGAUGCAGCAACGCCGCGUGAGCGAUGAAGGCCUUUGGGUCGUAAAGCUCUGUCCUCAAGGAAGAUAAUGACGGUACUUGAGGAGGAAGCCCCGGCUAACUACGUGCCAGCCGCCGCCGUAA
rnacentral:rRNA from 1 species